rnacentral:rRNA from 1 species
UACAGAGGUCCCAAGCGUUGUUCGGAUUUACUGGGCGUAAAGGGUGCGUAGGUGGUUGGGUAAGUCUGAUGUGAAAUCUCCGGGCUCAACCCGGAAAGGUCAAGUGAUACUGUCGGGCUAGAGUACAGAAGGGGCAACUGGAAUUCUCGGUGUAGCGGUGAAAUGCGUAGAUAUCGAGAGGAACACCUGCGGCGAAGGCGGGUUGCUGGGCUGAUACUGACGCUGAUGCGCGAAAGCCAGGGGAGCGAACGGG